rnacentral:lncRNA from 1 species
CCCACCCCCUAAUUUUAUGAAAGACAAGGAUAAAGUCCCAGGGAAACAAUGUGUUCAAGGCUACCCAGUGACGCAUGACCCCAUACAGGCUCUAUAAGGAUGUUACACUCGGUCAUCUCUACAUGCCUGGUACCUAGCACAGGAUCCUGGUACAUUGGAGGUGCUUGAGUAACUGUGAAUACAGGAACAUAGUCAUUUAAUAGCAAAGCUAGAGCCCUGUCCCCCAAGGCCAGCUUACUGCCUCCCCUCCCCC